GAUUAAUCGGUGGAGCAAAGGUUUUAAACAGUGGAAAAGGUUUCUAAUCAGUGAUAAGAAGGUUUAAUUGGUCAAAAUGUGAAUAAAUGGUGAAGGAAGGGGAAAACCCUAAGUUUAGAUGAAUGUGUUUGGUGAAAAAGGAAGAGAAGUGAAAAUAAAUGAUGAAUCCGUGAAGGAAAGAGGCUUAACGUGAUGAACCUGUGAAGAGAGCUCUCGAGAAGGAGAAAUGCACCCGAGGAAGACGUGGGAGAAAUGCGACAAGUGAAAUGCGGUGAAUGGUGUGAAUGAAGAUGUGUUCCUCUUGUGCAUAAGAGGAAAAGUAAUGUGGCGGGGAACGGAACGGUGGCACGAGGAUGUGGCAGCGGAGGAUGCGAUGUGGAGGAAAGAGAUUGUGUGGAAGCACAAUGGAGAAAUGGAUGAGUGUGCUUGGAAGGUGGCUAGAGGUGGAUCUCUUAGACUCUCGAGCCUGACUUUCAAGAGAGAAUUGUGUGUGGAUUUUCUCUACAUAAAUCACAAUUCAUUAUUCUCAAAAGUGAAGUUUACAAUGGUGGAGAUGAGUAUUUAUAAGAUACAAGCUAAAAGUACAAUACAGUGAAAAAUGUAAAAUACAAAAAAGACGAAGGGUUCUCAGGCUUAUUCCACCAUUCCCUCCCUCUUAAAAAAAGAUUUGUCCUCAAAUCUUGGUAAUUGCCUUAUGAAGACGCUCCAUAUUGUCUUGGGAGCAGGGCCAUCUUGAAGUGGCCUUAUUCCUUUAUUCCUUAAGAUCUACUGUUCUUCCACCUGGAUUCAACGCGAAUCUGCAAAACACAUGAAAUAUAUCUCCAAUUAAUAUUGAUCCAAGGAAGAAUUUUUUUAUAAAAGCAAGAGAAUAAGGACUACUUAUAUUUUGUUUUAUAGUGUUGGAAAAAUUUAGAAGUCCAUAUUCCCAAGUUAUUUUACUUUUAUUUUGAGUUAUUUGUUUCCACAAGGGUAACAGUAACUCAAAAGUCAAAAUUGAUUUGGAAGAAAAUUCAAUAUCUGAAGAGUCAACAAUGAUUGGAAAAGAAAUUAAGAAUUGGAAACAUUCCCUUUUAGGUUUCGUGAUGUUUGGAAGAAUUGGAUUUGCCAUCAGUAGUUAUUCGUCUUUUUCUCCAUUUUCCUCUUUUUUCUUCUUUUCUUCUAUUCCCUUUUCCUCUUCUCUUCUUUCUCAUCUCUCUUCUUCCUUUCUCUCUUCUUUCUCUCUUCUUUCGCUCUUCUCUCUUCUUAUUUUCUUCUAUCUUCCUUUUCUCUUUGCUCUUUUUCUUCUCUUUCUCUUCUCAUAUACUCUCUUUUCUUCCUCUUUUCUUUCUUGCUCUCUUCUUUUAAUCUCUCUUUCCCUUUUCUUAUCCCUUAAUUAUUGAAGUCUUGCCCUAAAUUUUAUUUCUCUCUGAAAGAAACCAUGAUCAUUUAAACUCUCAAGAAAUAUUUUUCCAUUUUCAAUACUAUUUUUCAUUAGUUCUAGGUUUCUUUUGAUUGAAGGAGGCACAAACUUUCUUCUCAUACAAGCUCUUAAUUCAUAUCAAUCAUGAAUGGAAGAUUUUCUACCUAUAUUAACCCAAUAAUUCCUUUCAUCCCACCACUCACAUGCAUGCUUUUCUAACCUAGAGUGAUAUAAACUAAGAACACUAGAUUCACACUCUCUAGAAAAAAAAAAUUGUUGGGAAACAGGUAGGCUUUGUUUUUACACCAAAAGGGGGGUGAAUUGAUGUUUUCACAAAAAUAAAAUAUUUUCUCAAUCUUGAAAUCAAAGUAUUAAACUUUUCUCUCUUCUCUUCUUUCUCAUCAAUCAAAGUAUGUACUUGCUAGUUUUGCACAAAUUCACUCAACUCAUAAAGCCUUUGUUGAGGGGUGAUUCUUCUAUUGAACACACUACCAUUAAAUUAUGGUAUUUGAAGUUGAAGAUUUACUUAGUAGAUUGAUGCAACAUUGAGUAUAGAUUAAUGAUAUGGAAAGUAGAGAUGACAAUGGGAUACGGUGGGAUGGAAACAUGU
rnacentral:lncRNA from 1 species